AUUGAACGCUGGCGGCAGGCUUAACACAUGCAAGUCGAGCGGGGGAAGGUAGCUUGCUACCGGACCUAGCGGCGGACGGGUGAGUAAUGCUUAGGAAUCUGCCUAUUAGUGGGGGACAACAUCUCGAAAGGGAUGCUAAUACCGCAUACGUCCUACGGGAGAAAGCAGGGGAUCUUCGGACCUUGCGCUAAUAGAUGAGCCUAAGUCGGAUUAGCUAGUUGGUGGGGUAAAGGCCUACCAAGGCGACGAUCUGUAGCGGGUCUGAGAGGAUGAUCCGCCACACUGGGACGGAGACACGGCCCAGACUCCUACGGGAGGCAGCAGUGGGGAAUAUUGGACAAUGGGGGGAACCCUGAUCCAGCCAUGCCGCGUGUGUGAAGAAGGCCUUAUGGCUGUAAAGCACUUUAAGCGAGGAGGAGGCUACUCUAGUUAAUACCUAGGGAUAGUGGACGUUACUCGCAGAAUAAGCACCGGCUAACUCUGUGCCAGCCGCCGCCGUAA
rnacentral:rRNA from 1 species